GCUUUUCGUUCUUUCUUUGGCACGUGGCGAAGGGAGGGAAGAACUUCGUUGGUUUUUGUUUGAUGCUGCUGAAAAUGCCAUUCAACUCAAAGAUGAAGACUUUGAAGCAUAAAGGCAGCCUUCUGGUUUGGCUGAAUUCUGCUACUGGAACAUCCUAUGCACCAUCUGACACUUGAGGACACAUCUUAUUUGCUCGUCUGACCAGUUUCAGAUGAUGGACAAGGUUCAAUGCUGUGAAUCUAAUCUGGUUCCAAAGU